UGGUGGGUUGCCUUGUCAGGUUGAUUCCGGUAACGAACGAGACCUCAGCCUGCUAAAUAGUCACGGUUGCUUUUUGCAGCCGGCCGACUUCUUAGAGGGACUUUGGCGCCUUAGCCAAAGGAAGUGUGAGGCGAUAACA
rnacentral:rRNA from 1 species